AAGAAAAAUGGUUUUUAACGACCAACAUUUAGCGACGAGGUGGAUAUCUGGUUGCCAAAAGCAUACUUAUGGGGAUGGCUUGUUUUUCUGGCCCCUAAUUGUUUGUAUGUUAAUGAAGGGUCCCAAUCUGGUCACGAAAAAGCUGAACAUCUCUUCGCUAAUAUAUAACUUCGGGAGUGAGAAGCAUUUUUUUUUAAAGAGAAAAACUAUAUCAUAUCUUCUUAAUUAAUUAAUUAACCCACCCACCCACGCACGCCCCCACUCCUCACCCUUUCUCAUUUUCCUCAAAUUAAACCCUAUCAUAUCUACGUGUUUCUCUCCUACCCCUACCAUUCUACUCUUCCAACUUCUCUCUAAAAGGAUGAAUACUCACGGCGGCAUCAACGUGGGCGUCUAUUUGAGGUGGCUGAGAUAGGUGACUCAAAGAUCCGGCAACGAUAAGAGCUGUUUAUCUUAGCAGGAUUUGAAGACUUGAGGUUACGGUCAAGACACAAGUGUUGAAGACGAUCUUUAUAAGUUUUCUUAAAGAAAUUUACUUUAUGUUUUUAUGGGAUUUGAAGACUGGAGGUUACAGUCAAGACACAGGUGUUGAAGACUUCAUAUAUGAUGAUAAAUUGGUUUUCA